UACGAAGGGGGCUAGCGUUGCUCGGAAUCACUGGGCGUAAAGCGCACGUAGGCGGCUUUCUAAGUCAGGGGUGAAAUCCUGGAGCUCAACUCCAGAACCGCCUUUGAUACUGGUGAGCUUGAGUCCGGGAGAGGUGAGUGGAACUCCGAGUGUAGAGGUGAAAUUCGUAGAUAUUCGGAAGAACACCAGUGGCGAAGGCGGCUCACUGGCCCGGUACUGACGCUGAUGUGCGAAAGCGUGGGGAGCAAACAGG
rnacentral:rRNA from 1 species